CUCGUAGGUGGUUUGUCGCGUCGUUUGUGUAAGUCCACAGCUUAACUGUGGGACUGCAGGCGAUACGGGCAUAACUUGAGUGCUGUAGGGGAGACUGGAAUUCCUGGUGUAGCGGUGAAAUGCGCAGAUAUCAGGAGGAACACCGAUGGCGAAGGCAGGUCUCUGGGCAGUAACUGACGCUGAGGAGCGAAAGCAUGGGUAGCGAACA
rnacentral:rRNA from 1 species